rnacentral:rRNA from 1 species
CCUACGGGGUGCUGCAGUAGGGAAUAUUGGACAAUGGGCGAAAGCCUGAUCCAGCCAUGCCGCGUGUGUGAAGAAGGCCUUCGGGUUGUAAAGCACUUUCAGUGGGGAAGAAAGCCUUGGGGCUAAUACCCUCGAGGAAGGACAUCACCCACAGAAGAAGCACCGGCUAACUCCGUGCCAGCAGCCGCGGUAAUACGGAGGGUGCGAGCGUUAAUCGGAAUUACUGGGCGUAAAGCGCGCGUAGGCGGUCUGAUAAGCCGGUUGUGAAAGCCCCGGGCUCAACGUGGGAACGGCAUCCGGAACUGUCAGGCUAGAGUGCAGGAGAGGAAGGUAGAAUUCCCGGUGUAGCGGUGAAAUGCGUAGAGAUCGGGAGGAAUACCAGUGGCGAAGGCGGCCUUCUGGACUGACACUGACGCUGAGGUGCGAAAGCGUGGGUAGCAAACAGGAUUAGAUACCCCAGUAGUC